UACGGAGGAUGCAAGCGUUAUCCGGAAUGAUUGGGCGUAAAGCGUCCGUAGGUGGUUUUGUAAGUCCGUGGUUAAAGCGUGGAGCUUAACUCCAUAAAGGCCAUGGAAACUACAAGACUAGAGUGAAGUAGGGGUAGAGGGAAUUCCCAGUGUAGCGGUGAAAUGCGUAGAGAUUGGGAAGAACACCGGUGGCGAAAGCGCUCUACUGGACUUAUACUGACACUGAGGGACGAAAGCUAGGGGAGCGAAAGGG
rnacentral:rRNA from 1 species